AAACAGCUACAUACAAGGGAUGUCAAAGAAUAAUCUGGCAAACUCAAAGGGGAACUGUGCAGUACUAAAUAGUGACACAAACAAACAGACGAGCGACAGGUGGUGUGAUUGGGAAUGUGCAGCAGCUGUGGGGGAGACCGGGUGACAAAACAUGCCUAGAAA